GCUGGGCAUGGUGGCACGUGCCUGUAGGUGCCAGCUCAGGAGGCUGGGGUGGGAGGGUCACUUGAGCCCAGUAGUUCUCGGUUGUAGUGCGCUACGCUGGUCGGGUGUCUGCACUAAGUUUGGCAUCAAUAUGGUGACCUCCUGGAUGUGGGGGACCACCAGGUUGCCUCAGGAGGGGUAAAGCAGCCCAGGUCAGAGACAGAGCUGGUCAAAACUCCUGUGCUGAACAGCAGUUGGAUUGCACCUGUGAAUAGCCACUGCACUCCAGCCUGGGCAAUGUAGAGAGACCCUGUCUUUA
ensembl:misc_RNA Metazoa_SRP Metazoan signal recognition particle RNA